CCGCGUGCAUGAUCAAUCCCCGUCUAAAAAUAGACAGUUGUACUUCUUGUGAUUAAUUCGUCCGAGACUUGUAUUGCACUGACCGAUUGUGGCACUUAUUGUCACAAACGCCUUCCAACGUCUCACGUCUAUGUUGUAUCAAACAACAAUAACUCUUAACACUUCAACGUAAAUAUUAAUAUUGAGUGUAAAAGUUCGAAGUUUUAAAUGAAUUUUCCGUGUGUUUAAAAUGCAAAUUAGUGGCAGUGUUUUGCUUCCUUUGGAGGUUGUAGUUGGCUGUAGUAAUUAGACUGGCAAUAUGACAACUACGAGUACUAUUAAGUAGCGAGUAUUCUCGUUGAGAUGUUUAGUUUAUGAGUUUAUUUGUCUCGUUGCAAAUGUGUAGACUGUAGUUUGUGAGUUAUGUUUGGAGACGUGUUUUACUAAUCAUACCUAGAAGGAUGUCAUAAAUCAAGAUGGCGGCGAAGCCAGUGACGUCAAAGAUCAUCAACUCGCCGGAGACGUGCGUGGACGACAACCUGCAUGGUCUGGUGGCCAUGUACCCCAUGCUACGUUUACACCCGUUGCACAGAGUUGUCACGGUCCAAACACAGACGGUUACUGGAAAAGUUGCAUUAAUCGGGGGUGGAGGAUCAGGACAUGAGCCUUUUGCAGCAGGU